AAAUUACUGAUGCAAAAAGUUGUACAAAUGAGGAAAUACAUGUUGGCUCAACAUAAUGGUUGUGUCAAAAAAGAAAAAUAUGUUUGGUCAAUGAUUGCAUGAUUUCCAUGAUUGUACUACAAAAUGUUCAUCAAGAGAAAAUAAAUAAUUAUGUUGAGAUAACUUUUAACGUUGCACAAAAAAUAUUAUGUUGGCCGAGCAAGAGAGAACAGCGUCAAUCGUCUGAGCAUGCGCAAAGGAGUUCUACCAGGCAGCGCUGCAGCAGGCUGGAGUCACGACAUUGCAUUGUCAGCAUUCCUGACAUCGCUGGACAAUCACACCCAGGGGUUGCUAAAGAUGUACAGAGCCAAAAGCAAGACUGGGAAGGUGGAACAACUUGGAUGAACUUCUGGAACAACUGGAUGCCCAGGAAACUAUUUCAUGAAGUUGGUUGAAAUGACGCCCAAUGGUGAAAAGAACCACAGAUCUAACUACUCAUUGAAGGUCUGCUGUUCUUAGUGGUCUUCCCCUGUACUUGAGAGAGCCAGCUUCAAUUUCAAAGACUAUUAAGGAUACUGAGGCACUGGGGCCACACACAAAGGCCAUGAAAAUGAAGUGACUGACAGUUCUACCAACUCAGGACCUUAUCCCACAGUGGUCAAUGUGGCUGUAGUAGUGGAGGAGGAAGUUGUCAUGGACAAUCUGGGAGACUUCACAAAUUCCCUCAUGAUGUUUGUUUCGGCACUGGUUGAAUACUUGUGUAAUAUUUUACUUGAGGCUAACAGGCAAAUUCAUAUGUAUUUAAAU